AGACCCGAAACCCGGUGAUCUAGCCAUGGGCAGGUUGAAGGUUGGGUAACACUAACUGGAGGACCGAACCGACUAAUGUUGAAAAAUUAGCGGAUGACCUGUGGCUGGGGGUGAAAGGCCAAUCAAACCGGGAGAUAGCUGGUUCUCCCCGAAAGCUAUUUAGGUAGCGCCUCGUGAAUUCAUCUCCGGGGGUAGAGCACUGUUUCGGCUAGGGGGCCAUCCCGGCUUACCAACCCGAUGCAAACUGCGAAUACCGGAGAAUGUUAUCACGGGAGACACACGGCGGGUGCUAACGUCCGUCGUGAAGAGGGAAACAACCCAGACCGCCAGCUAAGGUCCCAAAGUCAUGGUUAAGUGGGAAACGAUGUGGGAAGGCCCAGACAGCCAGGAUGUUGGCUUAGAAGCAGCCAUCAUUUAAAGAAAGCGUAAUAGCUCACUGGUCGAGUCGGCCUGCGCGGAAGAUGUAACGGGGCUAAACCAUGCACCGAAGCUGCGGCAGCGAACGUAUCACCCAAGACAACUUUACGGAGUUGACGAUUGACGGAGCGAAGCGACGUCAAAGCGUUCAUUAAAGUCGAGUUGGCUUAGGGAUACGUUCGUUGGGUAGGGGAGCGUUCUGUAAGCCUGUGAAGGUGUGUCGUGAGGCAUGCUGGAGGUAUCAGAAGUGCGAAUGCUGACAUAAGUAACGAUAAAGCGGGUGAAAAGCCCGCUCGCCGGAAGACCAAGGGUUCCUGUCCAACGUUAAUCGGGGCAGGGUGAGUCGACCCCUAAGGCGAGGCCGAAAGGCGUAGUCGAUGGGAAACGGGUUAAUAUUCCCGUACUUGGUGUUACUGCGAAGGGGGGACGGAGAAGGCUAUGUUGGCCGGGCGACGGUUGUCCCGGUUUAAGCGUGUAGGUGUGUGUUCCAGGUAAAUCCGGUUCACUUUAACACUGAGGCGUGAUGACGAGGCACUACGGUGCUGAAGCAACAAAUGCCCUGCUUCCAGGAAAAGCCUCUAAGCAUCAGGUAACAUCAAAUCGUACCCCAAACCGACACAGGUGGUCAGGUAGAGAAUACCAAGGCGCUUGAGAGAACUCGGGUGAAGGAACUAGGCAAAAUGGUGCCGUAACUUCGGGAGAAGGCACGCUGACACGUAGGUGAAGUGAUUUACUCACGGAGCUGAAGUCAGUCGAAGAUACCAGCUGGCUGCAACUGUUUAUUAAAAACACAGCACUGUGCAAACACGAAAGUGGACGUAUACGGUGUGACGCCUGCCCGGUGCCGGAAGGUUAAUUGAUGGGGUCAGCGCAAGCGAAGCUCCUGAUCGAAGCCCCGGUAAACGGCGGCCGUAACUAUAACGGUCCUAAGGUAGCGAAAUUCCUUGUCGGGUAAGUUCCGACCUGCACGAAUGGCGUAAUGAUGGCCAGGCUGUCUCCACCCGAGACUCAGUGAAAUUGAACUCGCUGUGAAGAUGCAGUGUACCCGCGGCAAGACGGAAAGACCCCGUGAACCUUUACUAUAGCUUGACACUGAACAUUGAGCCUUGAUGUGUAGGAUAGGUGGGAGGCUUUGAAGUGUGGACGCCAGUCUGCAUGGAGCCGACCUUGAAAUACCACCCUUUAAUGUUU
rnacentral:rRNA from 3 species